GACGAACGCUGGCGGCGUGCCUAAUACAUGCAAGUAGAACGCUGAAGGAGGAGCUUGCUUCUCCGGAUGAGUUGCGAACGGGUGAGUAACGCGUAGGUAACCUGCCUGGUAGCGGGGGAUAACUAUUGGAAACGAUAGCUAAUACCGCAUAAGAGUAGAUGUCGCAUGACAUUUGCUUAAAAGGUGCAACUGCACCACUACCAGAUGGACCUGCGUUGUAUUAGCUAGUUGGUGAGGUAACGGCUCACCAAGGCAACGAUACAUAGCCGACCUGAGAGGGUGGUCGGCCACACUGAGACUGAGACACGGCCCAGACUCCUACGGGAGGCAGCAGUAGGGAAUCUUCAGCAAUGGACGGGAGUCUGACCGAGCAACGCCGCGUGAGUGAGGAAGGUUUUCGGAUCGUAAAGCUCUGUUGUAAGAGAAGAACGAGUGUGAGAGUGGAAAGUUCACACUGUGACGGUAGCUUACCAGGAAGGGACGGCUAACUACGUG
rnacentral:rRNA from 1 species